rnacentral:rRNA from 1 species
CUCGGAAGAGUGAACUAGCUAACUGAAAUCAUAAGUGUGUCAUUUAUGAAUAAUGUAAGGGAAAAUUAUGAUAUUACCUUACUAAAAGUGUCGNCCAAAACUGGUGCCAGAAGACUCGGUAAGGCCAGAGACGCAAACGUUAGUCGUCUUUAUCAGGCGUAAAGGGUUUGUAGGCGGCUUUGAAAGUCUUAUUUUNCUAAAAUAGCAAUAACUCUCUCCUUUAAGGUUAGGAACUAAAGAAUAAGAUCAAUUAAAGCUUGAAUCAUAUAUGAGAUAANUNACCUANUACUUAGAGUAGGGGCGAUAUCCAUAGAUUCUAUAGAAGUNAAGCUAUUCUANAUUUAGUUUUAUCUGAUUGAUCUGGUAGNUAAACUAAUUAAUUUUAGUUUUUUAUUUUAUUAUAUUAAAUUAAUAGUAAGAAUUAUCAAAUUAUCCNAAUUUGUAUUUCUUGAUAUUCUUAUAAAUUUUCUUCUAGAAUUUAUAAUUANAGAAUAUUUUANUAAAUAUACAUAUAAUAAAACUNCCGUAAAUAUAAUAUAAAUAAUUAUAUUUACUCUUCUAAUGAUUUGGUGGCGAGGUUAACACGAUGACCAUUCCGCCUUGUGAGUACGACUGCNAAGNUGAAAACCCAAAAAAUUAGUCGGUUUCGAGAGCACAACGAAGUGACAGCAUG